CAUGGAAUGAGUGAUUUUUCUUAGAAGCAGAGGUGGAGCCACUGAGGAAGCACAGGCGAGCCCUCCCCAGCACGUGAUCACUGGUCCCCAACAGAACAACCGCUGCCGCAUCCAUGAGACACUGCUGCUGAAUCCAUGGAGAGAAAAAGGAUAAAUUUCCAGAACUAUGGUCCCUGUGCUCCAGUUCGCCAGGCGGGCGCGGCGGAGACGGAGACCGAGGAACGCGGCUGGGGCCAUGCGGCGCUACCGCGCGUGGUGGCGCUGUGUCUGGCCUGAGGCUUCUGCUCGCUCCUUUACGCCUUCAGCCAGCUCCCCAUGUCCCCGGAGGAAGGAGCGGGCGGUGGUGGCGGGAAGCUGCAGGCCGCAGUGGCUUCCUGGCUGGCGGGAGGCGGAUGCGGUGCGGUGAGAGGCGCGAGCAGUGCUUGUCCCGCUGCGCAUCCCCGCAGGUGGGACAGGUGUAGUCUGAAAAUACAGCCUGUUGAGAAAAUGCAUCUAGGUGAAAGACUUGAAAAAACUAUGACCAUGUUGAAGUCAGCUAUUAUUUUCAGGAUCAAACCUCUUCAAUUCCAGAUUUUUGCUGAAGAUCAACUCAUCAUAGCUUUAAAG
rnacentral:lncRNA from 10 species